GGAGGAGUGGCAGAAUGUUAUUGCGUUUGACUUGAAAUCAAUAGACGAAGGUUCAAUUCCUUCCUCCUCUU
rnacentral:tRNA from 1 species